rnacentral:rRNA from 1 species
UACGUAGGGGGCAAGCGUUGUCCGGAAUCAUUGGGCGUAAAGCGCGUGUAGGCGGCUCGAUUAGUCCGCUCUGAAAGCCCAGGGCUCAACCCUGGAAUGGCCUUCGAUACUGGUUGGCUCGAGACCGGAAGAGGUCAGUGGAACUGCGAGUGUAGAGGUGAAAUUCGUAGAUAUUCGCAAGAACACCAGUGGCGAAGGCGGCUCACUGGACCGGUAUUGACGCUGAGGUGCGAAAGCGUGGGGAGCAAACAGG